CUUUCUCCGCCGGCGACCGGCGCACGGGUGAGUAACACGUAUGCAACCUGCCCCUGUCAGGGGGACAACCCGCCGAAAGGCGGGCUAAACCCGCGUACAUGCCACCGGGGCAUCCCGGAGGCAGGAAAGGCUUCGGCCGGACAGGGAUGGGCAUGCGGCGCAUUAGGCAGUAGGCGGGGGUAACGGCCCACCUAACCGACGAUGCGUAGGGGUUCUGAGAGGAAGGUCCCCCACACUGGUACUGAGACACGGACCAGACUCCUACGGGAGGCAGCAG
rnacentral:rRNA from 1 species